rnacentral:RNase_P_RNA from 2 species
AGGAGUAGGCGUAGGCAGUUGCAGAUCAGUCACAAUGGCUGGUUUGAGGAAAGUCCGGGCUCCCGAAAGACCAAACUUGCUGGAUAACGUCCAGUGCGAGCGAUCGCGAGGAUAGUGCCACAGAAAGAUACCGCCAAUACAAGUCAAAAGUAAAAAGUAAAAAGGCAAAAGAAAGAUUUCUUUCUUUUUACUUUUGCCUUUUAUCUUUUGCCUUUUUUGGUAAGGGUGCAAAGGUGCGGUAAGAGCGCACCAGCAGCGUCGAGAGGCGCUGGCUCGGUAAACCCCGGUUGGGUGCAAGGCCAAAGGAACUACGGUUGGUCUUUUACCAGUUCCGCUAACACAGAGCCGCUAGAGGCGUUUGGUGACAGACGUCCCAGAUAGAUAACUGCCCUCGAAAGAGAACAGAACCCGGCUUACCAUCUGCUCUUUCCU